rnacentral:rRNA from 1 species
UCCUACGGGGGGCAGCAGUGGGGAAUAUUGCACAAUGGGGGAAACCCUGAUGCAGCAACGCCGCAUGAGUGAAGAAGUAUUUCGGUAUGUAAAGCUCUAUCAGCAGGGAAGAAAAUGACGGUACCUGACUAAGAAGCCCCGGCUAAAUACGUGCCAGCAGCCGCGGUAAUACGUAUGGGGCAAGCGUUAUCCGGAUUUACUGGGUGUAAAGGGAGCGUAGGCGGCCUGGCAAGCCUGAUGUGAAAUACCGGGGCCCAACCCCGGGGCUGCAUUG